AUGCUGUCUCAAAUGGAUGAAGAAAUCAUGACAUCCCUUCGUGAGCUCCCAGAAAUGAUUAAAUUAAUGAAGGAGUGUGUGCAGUGUGUCCGGUCAUUGAUUCCCUCACCCGGUGGGACCCCCUCAUCAGGAAUGUCUGCCUCUAGUACUGUUCCCAGUGAAAUUGAAAUGUGUUCCGAAGAGGGCUUUCCAGCGGCUGAACAGAUCUCGCAUGACCAUUUUUGCCCAAGAGCUGGCUGUUCUGGUGUUCACAAAGGAACUGCUGGCAGAGUCCACCCUAACAGGAAAAUCUGUGCGAGGGGCCCCCCCCCAAAAAACAGCUGGAUGUUGAAAAAGUUCAGGCCAUAACAGGUCUGCAAUUUUGAGUUAAUUUUGUGUCUGGAAAAUUGUUACUGAAAAUGUUAAUUGUACAGUAGCAGGACUGCAUGGAUUGGGAGGGGGGGGGAGCUGAGUAUUGUCAUCAAUUUCAUGUUUUGAUUUUGAUUCAAGCUUGGGAUUUAGUUCAAAUUAUGAUUCAGUUGUAUAUAGAUUAAUUGGGAUAUUUAUUUUGGACAGCAAUGAAAAGUUUUGUAAAGAAUUUGAGAGAGACUUCUUCUUAAAAGUUAAAAAGCACAAAGCUAAUUGCUAUUUACUGAAUAAAAGGGAUGGUUUAAUGAUUCA
ensembl:lncRNA